rnacentral:lncRNA from 1 species
CAAUGGAUCGCAGUUCUUCGUCUGUACUGCAAAGACGGAGUGGCUGAACGGGAAGCACGUGGUGUUUGGUCAAGUUAUAGAGGGAUUGGAUGUGGUGAAGGCCAUUGAGAAAGUGGGAUCCAGUUCUGGAAGGACCUCCAAGCCUGUGACGGUUGCUGAUUGUGGCCAGCUCUCUUAGAUCUGAUCUGGAUUGUGAUGAAAGAGAGAUUUGAGCUGUUUUUAUUAUUACCAUGAGUUUGUUCUUUUAUGUUUUCGUUGUGGUGUCUUUAGAUUUGGGGGUUUAAUCUGGUAGUUCUGUAUUGACUUGAGUUGAAAUUGAAUUGCCAUUAAUAAUUUGGUUU